GACGAACCGUCCAAACGUUAUUCGGAAUUACUGGGCUUAAAGGGUGCGUAGGCGGCGCGGAAAGUUGGGUGUGAAAUCCCUCGGCUCAACCGAGGAACUGCGCCCAAUACUACCGUGCUUGAGGGAGAUAGAGGUGAGCGGAACUUAGGGUGGAGCGGUGAAAUGCGUUGAUAUCCUAAGGAACACCGGUGGCGAAAGCGGCUCACUGGAUCUCUUCUGACGCUGAGGCCCGAAAGCUAGGGUAGCGAACGGG
rnacentral:rRNA from 1 species